UUACUCCAAAGCAGGACUUUCAUAUGCUGCCCAUACUGUCAGAUAUGAGAAAACAUGUACGAAACGGAGAUAUGACAACAGCAAGAUAAAUCACAGUUGCCGUCCACAAAGGACAGAAUCUGAUGCCUGAUUCUAAAAUGGGAUUGUGCCACUAACCAGAGGGCUUUAGAAAGAGUUUCUUAUCAGUCUGAGUCAGGAAUUGGCCAUGUAGAGGAUUUUGAUACCAUAACAACCUCAGACCUUCAGAACUGUCAGACAUUAGGCACAAGACCACAGUUAUUUGCCCUUGGUUGACCACAAUACAGAAGUGGUUAUGCAGAAAAUAGUUCCUCUGUUUGAUGGUGAAUAUUGGUGAAUUUUUGAGUGAAAGACCUGCAAUAAAUUGCAUGAUUUAAUAGAGGAGAUAUGAAAUAGCAGGUACAGGUACAAUUUGACAGAAUGAGAAUGUCAGAAUAUGCACAACCUGACUUUUUGAUAGGGCCUGUUUUGCCUGUUUGCGGCGAUCUAGAGAGUAUUCUUCAUACGCAUGUGAUUUGGUUCAAAAUGGUGGAAAAAAGAGCCGGUCAACCCAAUGUUUACUGUGGCUGGAAUUUUUUCUCUUGAAUAGUUCUGUUGAGUUCAGGUAUUUUUAUAGGGCAUGUUCUAAUCUCUGGCCUGGCCUGGCCCGGCCCGAUGAGCCCAAUUUCCGACUGAGCCGGGCCAGGCCAGGCCAUAGAUUUCAAUUUCGUGAAAGUGAUUUCUAUAGCAUCUUUAAAAUCUGACUUUUGGAAUAAGUUUGGAUAUUUCAGACAUUAUAUAAAUACAUUUUGAACUCCCACUCUGUAAAAUUAUACACCUGGGAAUAAGCCUGUAGCUAACAUAACUAUUAUGUCUAAUUUAAAGGUGAUGCCUGAUUAAUUGUUAUGACUAUUAUCAGGGGAUCUCCACCUCAAUUGACCCUUGACUGGUGGUUUGGUUUUCCCUAAAUUGAAUAACCUAACUAAUUUUAUUAUUUUGUCUAUUGAGGAUUAUUUAGUAUUGUCCGAAAUUAUUGAACUAGCACUCAAGAAUAUAUUUUGUAUGCUUCCGUAAAAAAAAAAUUGUGCCCAAACAUAAAUAAAAAUAUAAAUAUUGAAAACCAAAUAAAAUAUAAACAUUUCUUUACUGCCAGGUCGUACAUGCAGAUAAAAUUUCCUCUGUAAACUUAGAAUGCAGGAAAAUUAUCACUUAUCGUGAUUUAUUGUUCAUUUAUUGAAAGAAAUACACAAGUAUUUGACAUUCUUCUACAUACAAGUUAUUACCAUAAAAUGUUGUAAGAAUAAAAUCAGUAUCAAUAAAAUGACGGAGAACUUAUCACUACGCCACUGUGCCAUUGGUAAACUUUGCAUGUUAUUUUGGUCAAUUUAGAUAUUUUCAGGUUACAAAUAUGAUGUAAAAUAAAGAGUGGCACCUGUCAAUACUAACGGACAACAACUUUCAAUUUCUAAAAUAAUGCUACCUCCGUUCUAGAACCUGGGAUAGUAUGGUGCGGGGAAGCGAUAUAUAAAUUUUGUAGUUUAGGUUAUACACAUACUGAAUAUUUUUGUAAGAUUGUUUUUAUAUUGAUCCAAGUAUGUGGGAAAAAAUCAUACAAAGUCUUGUGAAACAGGCUCAAGAGCAUCUUUUAGCAUGAAAUAUAUCACUUAGAAAUAACAUAAACACAAU